CUGCAUUUGUUUUUUCUCAGGAUAUGAGAUCACAUCAGAUUGAUAAAAAUUCAACAAAAUUAUCAGCUGGUCAAUCUCUGAACUUGAUCAAAUUCUUGUUCAUUAUUUGAUAAAAGUUAUAAAUGCACAAAGUAAAAAUCUCUGGUACUUACAGUCUUUGUCGAGUUUGGUUCCUCCACCGAAAGUCGACCACAGUGAUACAGACUCAUUAGGUGCUCGUACAAAAACCUCCUGCACUGUGAACAACAGUCUGUCCACUGAAGAGUCACUUGUUUCUGGUUAAACUACACAAUUUACACUGAAUAUUUAUAUUGAGCUAAUGUGGCUGGAAAUUUCAUCAAGAUUGAUUAAUUAAAAAAAAAAAAACAUUUUAAUUUGUCUUACUUCUUAACAUUGAGAGACAAAAAGUUGAUUUAACUUUGUCAUGCAUUAAUGUUUUGAAACAUGGUUUGACUUCAUUUGAAAGCUAUAAAACAGACAGGAUGGUUCAAAAGAAUUAAAACAAAAUGUUUGGAAAAUUCUAUUGUAAAUCUACUCACCCUUUAAUUCAACUGAAAUACACAUAUUUGCAUCAAUGAAAGUGACACAAUUUAAAUCCAGAUGCUGACGACCCUCAAUUGUGCUUCUUCAUAUUUAGUGUAAAUCCAAACAGCAACGCUCCUGAGUUUGUGUCCCACGUCACCUUCAGUCCGCUCAGAGCAGAGGAAUAAUUUCCAUAGAGAGGAGGCUUUGCAUCGUCAGCUGAUCCUCCACUGAACUGAGAAGCUUUAUAGUCCUGUGACUCCAACUCUGCAGGACUCAGAUCCGUCAGUCCACCACAACCACCAUGACUCUCAUCACCCUCCUCAUCUGGACGCUGGCCUGCUGCAGCUUCACAGGAUGCAGCGGCCAGAUGACUGUGACUCAGCCUCCAGUCGUGACAUUUACUCCAGGAUCCACUGUGACACUGACCUGUAAAACCAACCCCAGUGUUUAUACGUAUAAUUCUAAAGAUUGGCUGUCCUGGUACCAGCAGAAACCUGGACAGGCUCCCAAGCUUCUUAUAUACUUAGCAUCAACUCUUAAUUCAGGAACUCCCUCUCGAUUCAGUGGCAGUGGCUCUGGUUCUAGCUUCACCUUAACCAUCAGAGGUGUUCAGGCUGAAGAUGUUGGAGAUUAUUACUGUCUCGGUAGUCAUGAUGGCUAUCUGUGGACUUUCGGUGGAGGAACCAAACUCGUCAGUAACGUGGGUGUGGUGCGGCCCACCCUGACCCUCCUCCCCCCCUCCAGUGAAGAGCUGCAGCAGGGCACUGUCACUCUGGUGUGUGUGGCCAGCGGGGGCUUCCCCUCAGCCUGGAGCCUGGGCUGGAAGGUGGGGGGCAGCAGCAGGUCCUCAGGGGUGUCUCACAGCCCGGGGGUCCUGGGGGGGGGCGGCCACUACAGCUGGAGCAGCACCAUGAGCCUCCCAGCAGAGAAGUGGAGGAAGGCGUGCUCAGUGAGCUGUGAGGCCAGUCUGGACGGACAGAGCCCUGUCACUCAAACCCUGGACCCUGACCUCUGCUCGGAGUAGAGAGACGACCGGAUGGAGUCAUUGUGCUCUACUGUGGGUCUGUUUGAUUUACAUGUGUUCUACUGCAGCUCUGCAUGUCUUCAUGCCUUUUCUUCAACUCAUUACGACAGUCAAAUGCUGUAUUGUGCUACUUUUGAAACAAGAAUAAAUAUUUCAUGUUCGAAUGUCAUUUGUUUUUCACAUUUCUAUUUUUUCUUUACUAAAAUAAAAUAUAUCAUCACCAACA